rnacentral:tRNA from 1 species
GCCUGGCUGGUUUAGUCAGUAAAACAUGAGAAUCUUGAUCCUCAAGAUCAUGAGUUCAAGCCCCAUGUUGGGUG